rnacentral:rRNA from 1 species
AUUGAACGCUGGCGGCGUGCUUAACACAUGCAAGUCGAGCGGUAAGGCCCUUUCGGGGGUACACGAGCGGCGAACGGGUGAGUAACACGUGGGUGACCUGCCCUCAGCUCUGGGAUAAGCCUGGGAAACCGGGUCUAAUACUGGAUAUGACUCCAUGACGCAUGUUGUGGGGUGGAAAGCCUUGUGCGGCUGAGGAUGGGCCCGCGGCCUAUCAGCUUGUUGGUGGGGUGAUGGCCUACCAAGGCGA